GGAGACCACUAGGGGUGCCCGCGGCUGUUUUCUUGAGCGGCCUGGGCUGAGAUCACACCCUCCGAACCUGAUCCGGAUCAUGCCGGCGCCAGGGAAGUGAAAGCGCGUGAUC
rnacentral:ncRNA from 1 species